GGUUCUUUGAGAAAUGUGAUAAAGAAUCUUACCUGCCCAGUGAUGAAAAUUUAACGGCCGCGGUAGUUUAACUGUGCGAAGGUAGCAUAAUCAAUUGUCUAUUAAUUGUAGACUGGAAUGAAAGGUGUGACUAAAAAAUAAUUGUCUUGAGAUUAAUUUGAAGUUUUCGUUUUCUUGAGGAGAGGAAAAUGGUUUAGAGGGACGAGAAGACCCUAUUAAGCUUUAUACAGAAAUAUGUAUUUAUGCGUAGGAGUGGCUGACAUACUUGUGUAUUUUGCUGGGGCGGCAGGUUUAAUUCAAACAAACUUUAGGGCGGUAUAAUUAAAUGAAGUUUUGAUCCAACAUGAUUGAGUGUGAGACUAAGUUACUAUAGGGAUAACAGCGUAAUUUCAUCUUGAAGUACUAAUUUAUGAUGAGGGUUGCGACCUCGAUGUUGGUUUAGGAUACUUAUUUGGCGCAAAUGCUAGAUAAAGUAGUCUGUUCGACUAUUAAACUCCUAUA
rnacentral:rRNA from 1 species